rnacentral:rRNA from 1 species
CUGCUUCCAGGAAAAGCCUCUAAGCAUCAGGUAACAUCAAAUCGUACCCCAAACCGACACAGGUGGUCAGGUAGAGAAUACCAAGGCGCUUGAGAGAACUCGGGUGAAGGAACUAGGCAAAAUGGUGCCGUAACUUCGGGAGAAGGCACGCUGGUGUGUAGGUGAAGUCCCUGCGGAUGGAGCUGAGACCAGUCGAAGAUACCAGCUGGCUGCAACUGUUUAUUAAAAACACAGCACUGUGCAAACACGAAAGUGGACGUAUACGGUGUGACGCCUGCCCGGUGCCGGAAGGUUAAUUGAUGGGGUUAUCCGUAAGGAGAAGCUCUUGAUCGAAGCCCCGGUAAACGGCGGCCGUAACUAUAACGGUCCUAAGGUAGCGAAAUUCCUUGUCGGGUAAGUUCCGACCUGCACGAAUGGCGUAAUGAUGGCCAGGCUGUCUCCACCCGAGACUCAGUGAAAUUGAACUCGCUGUGAAGAUGCAGUGUACCCGCGGCAAGACGGAAAGACCCCGUGAACCUUUACUAUAGCUUGACACUGAACAUUGAGCCUUGAUGUGUAGGAUAGGUGGGAGGCUUUGAAGCGUGGACGCCAGUCUGCGUGGAGCCAACCUUGAAAUACCACCCUUUAAUGUUUGAUGUUCUAACGUUGGCCCCUUACCGGGGUUGCGGACAGUGUCUGGUGGGUAGUUUGACUGGGGCGGUCUCCUCCCAAAGCGUAACGGAGGAGCACGAAGGUUAGCUAAUCCUGGUCGGACAUCAGGAGGUUAGUGCAAUGGCAUAAGCUAGCUUGACUGCGAGCGUGACGGCGCGAGCAGGUGCGAAAGCAGGUCAUAGUGAUCCGGUGGUUCUGAAUGGAAGGGCCAUCGCUCAACGGAUAAAAGGUACUCCGGGGAUAACAGGCUGAUACCGCCCAAGAGUUCAUAUCGACGGCGGUGUUUGGCACCUCGAUGUCGGCUCAUCACAUCCUGGGGCUGAAGUAGGUCCCAAGGGUAUGGCUGUUCGCCAUUUAAAGUGGUACGCGAGCUGGGUUUAGAACGUCGUGAGACAGUUCGGUCCCUAUCUGCCGUGGGCGCUGGAGAAUUGAGGGGGGCUGCUCCUAGUACGAGAGGACCGGAGUGGACGCAUCACUGGUGUUCGGGUUGUCAUGCCAAUGGCACUGCCCGGUAGCUAAAUGCGGAAGAGAUAAGUGCUGAAAGCAUCUAAGCACGAAACUUGCCCCGAGAUGAGUUCUCCCUGAGACUUUAAGUCUCCUGAAGGAACGUUGAAGACGACGACGUUGAUAGGCCGGGUGUGUAAGCGCAGCGAUGCGUUGAGCUAACCGGUACUAAUGAACCGUGAGGCUUAACCUU